rnacentral:lncRNA from 1 species
UUGGUCCCUUAAAGAUUCACCUUUUGUCAUAUAAGUCCUUUCCGUUAAUUUUUUAAUUCUAAAUGUAUUAGGUGGACCAACAUUGUAGGUAGUCCACCAUAUACCUCAAUACAUUUUUUAAUCUUAACCAUUUGAUUCUUUUGUCAAAAAAAUAACCAUUGGAUUUUGUAUGUCUACCACAUCUAGCAAUACACCAUCAACAAAUAAUUCUUUCUUCCAUUUCUUCAUCUUCUUCCCUCCCCUCCUUGUUCAUCUUCAUCAACAUUGAAACAAACCCAGAAAAAGGAAGAAAAAA